rnacentral:rRNA from 1 species
AACGAACGCUGGCGGCAUGCCUAACACAUGCAAGUCGAACGAAGCCUUCGGGCUUAGUGGCGCACGGGUGCGUAACGCGUGGGAAUCUGCCCUUGGGUUCGGAAUAACAGUUAGAAAUGACUGCUAAUACCGGAUGAUGACGUAAGUCCAAAGAUAUAUCGCCCAGGGAUGAGCCCGCGUAGGAUUAGGUAGUUGGUGAGGUAAAGGCCCACCAAGCCGACGAUCCUUAGCUGGUCUGAGAGGAUGAUCAGCCACACUGGGACUGAGACACGGCCCAGACUCCUACGGGAGGCAGCAGUGGGGAAUAUUGGACAAUGGGCGAAAGCCUGAUCCAGCAAUGCCGCGUGAGUGAUGAAGGCCUUAGGGUUGUAAAGCUCUUUUACCCGGGAUGAUAAUGACAGUACCGGGAGAAUAAGCUCCGGCUAACUCCGUGCCAGCAGCCGCAGUAAAAC